AUGUGCUGUGAGCUCGAUGAGUAGGGCGGGACACGUGGUAUCCUGUCUGAAUAUGGGGGGACCAUCCUCCAAGGCUAAAUACUCCUGACUGACCGAUAGUGAACCAGUACCGUGAGGGAAAGGCGAAAAGAACCCCGGCGAGGGGAGUGAAAAAGAACCUGAAACCGUGUACGUACAAGCAGUGGGAGCACAGGUUUACCUGUGUGACUGCGUACCUUUUGUAUAAUGGGUCAGCGACUUAUAUUCUGUAGCAAGGUUAACCGUAUAGGGGAGCCGUAGGGAAACCGAGUCUUAACCGGGCGUUAAGUUGCAGGGUAUAGACCCGAAACCCGGUGAUCUAGCCAUGGGCAGGUUGAAGGUUGGGUAACACUAACUGGAGGACCGAACCGACUAAUGUUGAAAAAUUAGCGGAUGACCUGUGGCUGGGGGUGAAAGGCCAAUCAAACCGGGAGAUAGCUGGUUCUCCCCGAAAGCUAUUUAGGUAGCGCCUCGUGAACUCAUCUCCGGGGGUAGAGCACUGUUUCGGCUAGGGGGCCAUCCCGGCUUACCAACCCGAUGCAAACUGCGAAUACCGGAGAAUGUUAUCACGGGAGACACACGGCGGGUGCUAACGUCCGUCGUGAAGAGGGAAACAACCCAGACCGCCAGCUAAGGUCCCAAAGUCAUGGUUAAGUGGGAAACGAUGUGGGAAGGCCCAGACAGCCAGGAUGUUGGCUUAGAAGCAGCCAUCAUUUAAAGAAAGCGUAAUAGCUCACUGGUCGAGUCGGCCUGCGCGGAAGAUGUAACGGGGCUAAACCAU
rnacentral:rRNA from 1 species